rnacentral:rRNA from 1 species
GAUGAACGCUGGCGGCGUGCCUAAUACAUGCAAGUCGAGCGAACAGACGAGGAGCUUGCUCCUCUGACGUUAGCGGCGGACGGGUGAGUAACACGUGGAUAACCUACCUAUAAGACUGGGAUAACUUCGGGAAACCGGAGCUAAUACCGGAUAAUAUAUUGAACCGCAUGGUUCAAUAGUGAAAGACGGUUUUGCUGUCACUUAUAGAUGGAUCCGCGCCGCAUUAGCUAGUUGGUAAGGUAACGGCUUACCAAGGCAACUAUGCGUAGCCGACCUGAGAGGGUGAUCGGCCACACUGGAACGUAGACACGGUCCAGACUCCUACGGGAGGCAGCAGUAGGGAAUCUUCCGCAAUGGGCGAAAGCCUGACGGAGCAACGCCGCGUGAGUGAUGAAGGUCUUCGGAUCGUAAAACUCUGUUAUUAGGGAAGAACAAAUGUGUAAGUAACUAUGCACGUCUUGACGGUACCUAAUCAGAAAGCCACGGCUAACUACGUG